AGCGUAGGCGGGAUGGUAAGUCAGAUGUGAAAACUAUGGGCUCAACCCAUAGACUGCAUUUGAAACUGCUGUUCUUGAGUGAAGUAGAGGUAAGCGGAAUUCCUAGUGUAGCGGUGAAAUGCGUAGAUAUUAGGAGGAACAUCGGUGGCGAAGGCGGCUUGCUGGACGAUAACUGACGCUGAGGCGCGAAAGCGUGGGGAGCAAACAGGAUUAGAUACCCUUGUA
rnacentral:rRNA from 1 species